CCUACGGGUGGCAGCAGUGAGGAAUAUUGGUCAAUGGGCGGGAGCCUGAACCAGCCAAGUCGCGUGAGGGAAGACGGUCCUAUGGAUUGUAAACCUCUUUUGUAGAGAACGAAAAGUCUAUUGAUAAUACCGAUAGACGAUGACGGUACUCUAAGAAUAAGCACCGGCUAACUACGUGCCAGCAGCCGCGGUAAUACGUAGGGUGCGAGCGUUAAUCGGAAUUACUGGGCGUAAAGGGUGUGCAGGUGGUUUUGCAAGAUGGAUGUGAAAGCCCCGGGCUUAACCUGGGAAAGCCAUACAUGACUGCAAGACUAGAGUGCGUCAGAGGGGGGUGGAAUUCCAAGUGUAGCAGUGAAAUGCGUAGAUAUUUGGAAGAACACCGAUGGCGAAGGCAGCCCCCUGGGACGCAACUGACGCUCAUACACGAAAGCGUGGGGAGCAAACAGGAUUAGAUACCCGAGUAGUC
rnacentral:rRNA from 1 species